AUUGAACGCUGGCGGCAGGCCUAACACAUUCAAGUCGAGCGAGCGGCGGACGGGUGAGUAAUGUAUGGGGACUGCCCGAUAGAGGGGGCUAACUACUGGAAACGGUGGCUAAUACCGCAUACUAUCGGAUAACCCAUAUGGGAUUAGCUAGUAGGUGGGGUACCUGCUCACUUAGGCGACGAUCUCUAGCUGGUCUGAGAGGAUGAUCAGCCACACUGGGACUGAGACACGGCCCAGACUCCUACGGAGGCAGCAGUGGGGAAUAUUGCACAAUGGGCGCAAGCCUGAUGCAGCCAGGCCGCGUGUAUGAAGAAGGCCUUAGGGUUGUAAAGUACUUUCAGCGGGGAGGCGUUACCCGCAGAAGAAGCACCGGCUAACUCCGUGGAAGCAGCCGCGGUAAUUC
rnacentral:rRNA from 1 species